UACGGGGGGGGCAAGCGUUGUUCGGAAUUACUGGGCGUAAAGGCUCGUAGGCGGCCAACUAAGUCAGACGUGAAAUCCCCAGGCUUAACCUGGGAACUGCGUCUGAUACUGGAUGGCUUGAAUCCGGGAGAGGGAUGCAGAAUUCCAGGUGUAGCGGUGAAAUGCGUAGAUAUCUGGAGGAAUACCGGUGGCGAAGGCGGCAUCCUGGACCGGCAUUGACGCUGAGGAGCGAAAGCUAGGGGAGCAAACGGGG
rnacentral:rRNA from 1 species